rnacentral:rRNA from 1 species
GAAAGUAAAGAAGGGCGCAUGGCGGAUGCCUUGGCUCUCGGAGGCGAUGAAGGACGUGAUAAGCUGCGAUAAGCUUUGGGGAGGUGCAAAUGACCUUUGAUCCAGAGAUUUCCGAAUGGGACAACCCAAUAUCUUGAAGAGGUAUUAUCCAACUUUGUUGGAGGCUAACGCAGGGAACUGAAACAUCUUAGUACCUGCAGGAAAAGAAAAUAAACAAUGAUUCCCCCAGUAGUGGCGAGCGAACGGGGAACAGCCCAAACCAUCCAUGUUACGGCAUGGGUGGGGUUGUAGGACUACGCCGUUGCAUGAAGACAUCAGAGAAGAACUUUCUGGAAAGAAAGACCAUAGAGCAUGACAGUUGCGUAUUCGAAUGUUGUCGAAGCAUAGUAGUAUCCUGAGUAGCGCGGAGCACGAGGAAUUCUGCGUGAAUCUGCCGGGACCAUCCGGUAAGGCUAAAUACUCCCGAGAGACCGAUAGCGAACCAGUACCGUGAGGGAAAGGUGAAAAGCACUUCGAACAGAAGAGUGAAAUAGUUCCUGAAACCGUGCGCCUACAAGCGGUCGGAGCUCGUUAAUGAGUGACGGCGUGCCUUUUGCAUAAUGAACCUACGAGUUGCCUUUGCCGGCAAGGUUAAGUGUGACGACACACGUAUCCGAAGCGAAAGCGAGUCUGAAGAGGGCGUAUAGUCGGCAGUGGCAGACGCGAAACCAAGUGAUCUACCCUUGGCCAGGUUGAAGGCUGGGUAACACCAGCUGGAGGACCGCACCAAUAAGCGUUGAAAAGCUUCUGGAUGAGCUGAGGGUAGGGGUGAAAGGCUAAUCAAACUUGGAGAUAGCUCGUACUCCCCGAAAUGCAUUUAGGUGCAGCCUUGCGGGUUACUGAUGUGAGGUAGAGCGACUGAUAAGAUGCGAGGGCUUCACCGCCUAUCAAGUCUUGACAAACUCCGAAUGCGCAUCAGUUCUACCGCAGGAGUGAGGGCAUGGGUGCUAAGGUCCGUGCCCGAGAGGAGAAGAAUCCGGACCACCUGCUAAGGUCCCGAAAUGACAGCUAAGUUAAACUAACGAAGUCUGACUGCUAAGACAGCUAGGAUGUUGGCUUGGAAGCAGCCAUUCAUUUAAAGAGUGCGUAACAGCUCACUAGUCGAGGAGUCGGGCGUGGAUAAUAAUCGGGUAUCAAGUUGUCUACCGAAGCAGUGGGAUCAUUUAUAUGAUCGGUAGGGGAGCAUUCCAGUCAGCGUCGAAGGCGUACCGUGAGGUAUUCUGGAGCGUCUGGAAAAGCAAAUGUAGGUAUAAGUAACGAUAAAGGGGGCGGGAAACCCCCUCGCCGAAAGACUAAGGUUUCCUGAUCAACGCUAAUCGGAUCAGGGUCAGUCGGGUCCUAAGGCUCAGCCGAACGGCGAUGCCGAUGGCAGAAACGGUUAAUAUUCCGUUACUACCUUCAGGAGUGACGUGGAGACGCAGUAGUGACAGUGCCGCCAUCUGACGGAAUAGAUGGUUGAAGGGUGUAGGAGUCGAUCAUGGCAGGCAAAUCCACCAUGAGAUCCGAACCUGAUAGUAUGCCGCGUCCUUCGGGACAAGGCAAUAGUGCGCGUAAGCAUGCUGCCGAGAAAAUCCGCUAAACUUAAUCCUGUAGGUACCCGUACCGCAAACGGACACACGUAGUCGGGAUGAAUAUUCUAAGGCGCUUGAGUGAUUCACGGUUAAGGAACUAGGCAAACUGACCCUGUAACUUCGGGAUAAAGGGUCCCUACCCUUUUAUGGGAGGGCGCAGAGAAUCGGUCCAGGCAACUGUUUAACAAAAACACAGGGCUGUGCCAAAUCGAAAGAUCCAGUAUACAGCCUGACACCUGCCCGGUGCUGGAAGGUUAAGAGGAGAUGUCAUCGAUAAGAGAAGCGUUGAAUUGAAGCCCCAGUAAACGGCGGCCGUAACUAUAACGGUCCUAAGGUAGCGAAAUUCCUUGUCGGGUAAGUUCCGACCUGCACGAAUGGUGUAAUGAUCUGGACGCUGUCUCAACCGUGAGCUCAGUGAAAUUGUAGUAUCGGUGAAGAUGCCGAUUACCCGCGAUGGGACGAAAAGACCCCGUGAACCUUUACUAUAGCUUAUCAUUGAAUCUGGGCACGUGAUGUGUAGGAUAGGUCGGAGGCUUUGAAGCAGGUACGCCAGUAUUUGUGGAGCCGCUGUUGAAAUACGACCCUUUAUUUGUUUGGAUUCUAACCCGUGGAACGGGGACAUUGAUUGGUGGGUAGUUUGACUGGGGUGGUCGCCUCCAAAAGCGUAACGGAGGCUUCUA